AGCGUACAUGGUGGAUGCCUUGGCAGUCAGAGGCGAUGAAGGACGUACUAACCUGCGAUAAGCUGUGAGAAGUCGGUAAGAGACGCUAUUACUCACAGAUUUCCGAAUGGGGAAACCCACCCGAGAUAACUCGGGUAUCCGUUAGUGAAUACAUAGCUAACGGAGGCGAACCGGGAGAACUGAAACAUCUAAGUACCCCGAGGAAAAGAAAUCAACCGAGAUUCCCUCAGUAGCGGCGAGCGAACGGGGAUUAGCCCUUAAGCAUCUUGGAAGUUAGUGGAACGGUCCUGGAAAGGCCGGCGAUACAGGGUGAUAGCCCCGUACACGAAAACGACCUUGAUGUGAAAUCGAGUAGGGCGGGACACGUGACAUCCUGUCUGAAUAUGGGGGGACCAUCCUCCAAGGCUAAAUACUCCUGACUGACCGAUAGUGAACCAGUACCGUGAGGGAAAGGCGAAAAGAACCCCUGUGAGGGGAGUGAAAUAGAACCUGAAACCGUGUACGUACAAGCAGUGGGAGCCCUUCGGGGUGACUGCGUACCUUUUGUAUAAUGGGUCAGCGACUUACAUUUUGUAGCGAGGUUAACCGUAUAGGGGAGCCGUAGGGAAACCGAGUCUUAACUGGGCGUCUAGUUGCAAGGUGUAGACCCGAAACCGGGUGAUCUAGCCAUGGGCAGGUUGAAGGUUGAGUAACAUCAACUGGAGGACCGAACCCACUAACGUUGCAAAGUUAGGGGAUGACCUGUGGCUGGGGGUGAAAGGCCAAUCAAACUCGGAGAUAGCUGGUUCUCCCCGAAAGCUAUUUAGGUAGCGCCUCGGACGAAUACUACUGGGGGUAGAGCACUGUUUGGACUAGGGGGUCAUCCCGACUUACCAACUCCAUGCAAACUCCGAAUACCAGUAAGUACUAUCCGGGAGACACACGGCGGGUGCUAACGUCCGUCGUGAAGAGGGAAACAACCCAGACCGCCGGCUAAGGUCCCAAAGUUCUGGUUAAGUGGGAAACGAUGUGGGAAGGCUCAGACAGCUAGGAUGUUGGCUUAGAAGCAGCCAUCAUUUAAAGAAAGCGUAAUAGCUCACUAGUCGAGUCGGCCUGCGCGGAAGAUGUAACGGGGCUCAAACCAGGCACCGAAGCCGCGGAUGCGGGCGCAUCACUUAAGUACGCUGCGUGCGAAGCACGCCAAGCCCCCUCUCAUCAGUGGAGGCGGGAUGGUUAGCGUAAUUAAGGAUGCGCCUGCGUGGUAGGGGAGCGUUCUGUAAGUCUGCGAAGGUGUAUCGAGAGGUAUGCUGGAGAUAUCAGAAGUGCGAAUGCUGACGUAAGUAACGAUAAAGGGGGUGAAAAGCCUCCUCGCCGGAAGACCAAGGGUUCCUGUCCAACGUUAAUCGGGGCAGGGUGAGUCGACCCCUAAGGCGAGGCCGAAAGGCGUAGUCGAUGGGAAGCAGGUUAAUAUUCCUGCACGACUUGUAAUUGCGAUGGGGGGACGGAGAAGGCUAGGUGGGCCAGGCGACGGUUGUCCUGGUGAAAGUGCGUAGGUGGUGUUUCUAGGCAAAUCCGGAGACACAACACUGAGACACGAGACGAACGCACUACGGUGCGGAAGCCAUUGAUGCCCUGCUUCCAGGAAAAGCCUCUAAGCUUCAGAUUACAAGUCAUCGUACCCCAAACCGACACAGGUGGUCGGGUAGAGAAUACCAAGGCGCUUGAGAGAACUCGGGUGAAGGAACUAGGCAAAAUAGAACCGUAACUUCGGGAGAAGGUUCGCUCUUGAUGGUGAAGUCCCUUGCGGAUGGAGCUGUCGGGAGUCGCAGUGACCAGAUGGCUGGGACUGUUUAUCAAAAACACAGCACUCUGCAAACACGAAAGUGGACGUAUAGGGUGUGACACCUGCCCGGUGCCGGAAGGUUAAUUGAUGGGGUUAGCGCAAGCGAAGCUCUUGAUCGAAGCCCCGGUAAACGGCGGCCGUAACUAUAACGGUCCUAAGGUAGCGAAAUUCCUUGUCGGGUAAGUUCCGACCUGCACGAAUGGUGUAACCAUGGCCAUGCUGUCUCCACCCGAGACUCAGUGAAAUCGAAUUCGCCGUGAAGAUGCGGUGUACCCGCGGCUAGACGGAAAGACCCCGUGAACCUUUACUACAGCUUGGCACUGAACAUUGAACCUACAUGUGUAGGAUAGGUGGGAGGCUUUGAAGGCGUGACGCCAGUUGCGCUGGAGCCGUCCUUGAAAUACCACCCUUGUAUGUUUGAUGUUCUAACGCAGGGCCCUGAAUCGGGCUCGCGGACAGUGCCUGGUGGGUAGUUUGACUGGGGCGGUCUCCUCCCAAAGAGUAACGGAGGAGCACGAAGGUUGGCUAAUCCUGGUCGGACAUCAGGAGGUUAGUGCAAUGGCAUAAGCCAGCUUAACUGCGAGACGGACAGGUCGAGCAGGUACGAAAGUAGGUCAUAGUGAUCCGGUGGUUCUGAAUGGAAGGGCCAUCGCUCAACGGAUAAAAGGUACUCCGGGGAUAACAGGCUGAUACCGCCCAAGAGUUCAUAUCGACGGCGGUGUUUGGCACCUCGAUGUCGGCUCAUCACAUCCUGGGGCUGAAGUCGGUCCCAAGGGUAUGGCUGUUCGCCAUUUAAAGUGGUACGCGAGCUGGGUUCAGAACGUCGUGAGACAGUUCGGUCCCUAUCUGCCGUGGGCGUUGGAUGAUUGAAGGGAGUUGCUCCUAGUACGAGAGGACCGGAGUGAACGAACCUCUGGUGUUCGGGUUGUCACGCCAGUGGCACUGCCCGGUAGCUAAGUUCGGAAUCGAUAACCGCUGAAAGCAUCUAAGCGGGAAGCGAGCCCUGAGAUGAGUCAUCCCUGACCCCUUGA
rnacentral:rRNA from 1 species